rnacentral:rRNA from 1 species
UACGUAGGUGGCAAGCGUUGUCCGGAAUUAUUGGGCGUAAAGCGCGCGCAGGCGGUCGGGUAAGUCUGAUGUUAAAGCCCGGGGCUCAACCCCGGUUCGCAUUGGAAACUGCCUGACUUGAGUGCAGGAGAGGAAAGCGGUAUUCCACGUGUAGCGGUGAAAUGCGUAGAGAUGUGGAGGAACACCAGUGGCGAAGGCGGCUUUCUGGCCUGUAACUGACGCUGAGGCGCGAAAGCGUGGGGAGCAAACAGG